rnacentral:rRNA from 1 species
AUUGAACGCUGGCGGCAGGCCUAACACAUGCAAGUCGAGCGGAUGAAGGGAGCUUGCUCCUGGAUUCAGCGGCGGACGGGUGAGUAAUGCCUAUGAAUCUGCCUGGUAGUGGGGGAUAACGUCCGGAAACGGGCGCUAAUACCGCAUACGUCCUGAGGGAAAAAGUGGGGGAUCUUCGGACCUCACGCUAUCAGAUGAGUCUAGGUCGGAUUAGCUAGGUGGGGGGGGAAAGGCCUACCAAGGCGACGAUCCGUAACUGGUCUGAGAGGGUGAUCAGACACAUGGGAACUGAGACACGUCCCAGACUCCUACGCGGGGAAGCAGCCGGGACUAUUGGGCGAGGGGGGAAAGGCUGAUACAGCCCUGCCGCGUGUAUGAAGAAGGUCUUCGGAUUGUAAAGCACUGUAAGUUGGAAGGAAGGGAAGUACGUUAAUACCUUGCUGUAUUGACGGUACCCACAGAAGAAGCACCGGCUAACUUCGUG